rnacentral:rRNA from 1 species
CCUACGGGAGGCAGCAGUGGGGAAUAUUGCACAAUGGGGGAAACCCUGAUGCAGCGACGCCGCGUGAGUGAAGAAGUAUUUCGGUAUGUAAAGCUCUAUCAGCAGGGAAGAAAAUGACGGUACCUGAUUAAGAAGCCCCGGCUAACUACGUGCCAGCAGCCGCGGUAAGACGUAGGGGGCAAGCGUUAUCCGGAUUUACUGGGUGUAAAGGGAGCGUAGACGGCAGCACAAGUCUGGAGUGAAAUGCCGGGGCUUAACCCCGGAACUGCUUUGGAAACUGUGCAGCUAGAGUGCAGGAGAGGUAAGUGGAAUUCGUAGUGUAGCGGUGAAAUGCGUAGAUAUUAGGAGGAACACCAGUGGCGAAGGCGGCUUACUGGACUGUAACUGACGUUGAGGCUCGAAAGCGUGGGGAGCAAACAGGAUUAGAUACCCUUGUAGUC